rnacentral:rRNA from 1 species
AUUGAACGCUGGCGGCAGGCCUAACACAUGCAAGUCGAGCGAGCGGCGGACGGGUGAGUAAUGUAUGGGGACUGCCCGAUAGAGGGGGAUAACUACUGGAAACGGUAGCUAAUACCGCAUACUAUCGGAUAACCCAUAUGGGAUUAGCUAGUAGGUGAGGUAAUGGCGCACCUAGGCGACGAUCCCUAGCUGGGCUGAGAGGAUGAUCAGCCACACUGGGACUGAGACACGGCCGUGACUCCUACGGAGGCAGAAGUGGGGAAUAUUGCACAAUGUGCGCAAGCCGGAUGCAGCCAUGCCGCGUGUAUGAUGAAGGCCUGCGGGUUGUAAAGUACUUUUGGCAGAGAAGCGGUAUCUGCAGAAUAAGCACCGGCUAACUACGUGCCAGCAGCCGCGGUAAUUC